rnacentral:tRNA from 1 species
UGCAGCGUGGCUCAAUGGAAAGAGCAUGGGCUUAGGAAUCAGAGGUCAUGGGUUCGAAUCCCCACUCUGCCA